rnacentral:misc_RNA from 1 species
GAUGAAGAACGUAGCGAAAUGCGAUAAGUAAUGUGAAUUGCAGAUUUCAGUGAAUCAUCGAAUCUUUGAACGCACCUUGCGCCUUGUGGUAUUCCACAAGGCAUGCCCGUUUGAGUAUCAUUAAAUCAUCAACUCUAAAACCUUUGUGGUUUUUUUUAGAGCUUGGUCUUGAGGGUUUUGCAGGCUUUUUUUUUUUUUCGAGUCUGCUCCCUUUAAAUGCAUUAGCGAGACUUCACUAUGCUGAACCGUCUCUUUGACGUGAUAAUUAUCUGCGUCGAAUUUUGGUUCUCGUUGGGCUUGCUUCUAAUCGUCUGUUAAAGACAAAACGGAUUUGGGUGCAUAUAUGCGCCUUUUUCCAAAACCUUUUUUUGAUCUCAAAUCGGGUAGGACUACCCGCUGAACUUAAGCAUAUCAAUAAGCGGAGGA